CCUACGGGAGGCUGCAGUAGGGAAUAUUGCUCAAUGGGGGAAACCCUGAAGCAGCAACGCCGCGUGGAGGAUGAAGGUUUUCGGAUCGUAAACUUCUGUUGUUAGAGAAGAUAAUGACGGUAUCUAACGAAUAAGCACCUGCCAACUCCGUGCCAGCAGCCGCGGUAAUACGGAGGGUGCAAGCGUUACUCGGAAUCACUGGGCGUAAAGAGCGCGUAGGCGGGAUAGCAAGUCAGAUGUGAAAUCCUAUGGCUUAACCAUAGAACUGCAUUGGAAACUGUGAUUCUAAAGUGUGGGAGAGGAGAGUGGAAUUCUUGGUGUAGGGGUAAAAUCCGUAGAGAUCUAGAGGAAUACUCAUUGCGAAGGCGACCUGCUAGAACGUAACUGACGCUGAUGCGCGAAAGCGUGGGGAGCAAACAGGAUUAGAUACCCCAGUAGUC
rnacentral:rRNA from 1 species